UUAAUAAAUAAAUAAUCUAUUCCCCAAAUCACUAAAGGAAAAGAAGCAAUGGAUGGAAACUAAUCAAGGAGAGAAGCAACCUAGAAUGAAGGGGAAAUUCCUUGACAGUUAGAACGAUUAAUUGGUGGAAUGGCUUGAUUCCAGAAUGCUCCAACACUGGAGGUUUUUAAGAAGAGACAGGAUAAUCAUUUUCUGAAAUGAUAUAGGGCAGAAGUCCCCAACCCUUAGUCCAUGGACCAGAACCGGAUUGCAGCCUGCCAGAAACUGGGCCGUGCAAACAAGCAAAGCCCCAUCAAUGGAUGCAGGCAGCAUGCGAAACCACGUCCCCUCCGGUCCAUGGAAAAACCUCUCUCCAUGGAACCAGUCCCUGGUGGGUAAAAGGUUGGGUGCUGCUGGCAUAGGGUUUUCUGCUUGAGCAGUACUUUGGGCUAGAAGACCUCCAAGGUCCCUUCUGUUAUCAAUCUGGUCCCAAUAUAGGCUGAAGGAAGGAGAAAACAUGAACGUAAUUUAAUUAUGCUUGAUUUUAUACAUUUUAAAGACCAAUUCAAGUAAAUCAAAAUAAAACCACUACUUUGGUUUCAUUUAGAAUAAUAUAAUCACAAGGGCCGAGAGAAGAAUGAUAAAGGGGCCAGAAGAGUUUUAUGGCAAUACUAGCAGAUGUAGCUGACAUUGUCGUUUUUAAUUUUACUUAAAGUUGCAU